rnacentral:rRNA from 1 species
AGUGGGGAAUAUUGCGCGAUGGGGGCAACCCUGACGCAGCAACGCCGCGUGAAUGAAGAAGGUCUUCGGAUCGUAAAGUUCUGUCGAAGGGGAAGAAAUAAAUGACGGUACCCUUAGAGGAAGCCCCGGCUAACUACGUGCCAGCAGCCGCGGUAAUACGUAGGGGGCAAGCGUUGUCCGGAUUUACUGGGCGUAAAGGGCGUGUAGGCGGUUUUUUAAGUCAGAUGUGAAAGUUCGGGGCUCAACCCCGGAAUUGCAUUUGAAACUGGAGAACUUGAGUACUGGAGAGGUAAGUGGAAUUCCUAGUGUAGCGGUGAAAUGCGUAGAUAUUAGGAGGAACACCAGUGGCGAAGGCGACUUACUGGACAGAUACUGACGCUGAGGCGCGAAAGCGUGGGGAGCGAACAGGAUUAGAUACCCUGGUAGUCCACGCCGUAAACGAUGAGUGCUAGGUGUUGGGGCAACUCAGUGCCGUAGUUAACACAAUAAGCACUCCGCCUGGGGAGUACGAUCGCAAGAU